rnacentral:rRNA from 1 species
AUUGAACGCUGGCGGCAUGCCUUACACAUGCAAGUCGAACGGUAACAGGUCUUCGGAUGCUGACGAGUGGCGAACGGGUGAGUAAUGCAUCGGAACGUGCCCAGUUGUGGGGGAUAACUGCUCGAAAGAGCAGCUAAUACCGCAUACGACCUGAGGGUGAAAGCGGGGGAUCGCAAGACCUCGCGCAAUUGGAGCGGCCGAUGUCAGAUUAGGUAGUUGGUGGGGGAAAGGCCUACCAAGCCGACGAUCUGUCGUUGGUCUGAGAGGACGACCAGCCACACUGAGACUGAGACACGGCCCAGACUCCUACGGGAGGCAGCAGUGGGGAAGUUUGGACAAUGGGCGCAAGCCUGAUCCAGCAAUGCCGCGUGCAGGAAGAAGGCCUUCGGGUUGUAAACUGCUUUUGUCAGGGAAGAAAUCCUCUGGGUUAAUACCCCGGGGGGAUGACGGUACCUGAAGAAUAAGCACCGGCUAACUACGUGCCAGCCGCCGCGGUAAUAC